rnacentral:rRNA from 1 species
GUUAGGAAUAUUGGACAAUGGGCGAAAGUCUGAACCAGCCAUGCCGCGUGGAGGAUGAAGGUCCUCUGGAUUGUAAACUUCUUUUAUAUGGGACGAAAAAAGGCUUUUCUAAGUCGUCUGACGGUACCAUAUGAAUAAGCACCGGCUAACUCCGUGCCAGCAGCCGCGGUAAUACGGAGGGUGCAAGCGUUAUCCGGAUUCACUGGGUUAAAAGGGUGCGUAGGUGGAUUGCCAAGUCCGUGGUGAAAUCUUCGAGCUUAACUCGGAAACUGCCAUGGAUACUGGUGAUCUUGAAUAUCGUGGAGGUUAGCGGAAUAUGUCAUGUAGCGGUGAAAUGCUUAGAUAUGACAUAGAACACCAAUUGCGAAGGCAGCUGGCUACGCGAAUAUUGACACUCAGGCACGAAAGCGUGGGGAUCAAACAGGAUUAGAUACCCCUGUAGUCC